AGCGGCGAGCGAAAGGGGAGUAGCCCAGUCCACCACAAGCUUAAAUAAUUUAAAUGAAUGUUCUGGAAAGUUCAGCCAUAGCAGGUGAUAGCCCUGUAAUUGAAAAGUGAUUUAAGUGGGGUGGCGAAGAGUAAGACGGGACACGUGAAAUCUUGUCUGAACAUGGGGGGACCAUCCUCCAAGGCUAAAUACUCCUUACCGACCAAUAGCGAACGAGUACCGUGAGGGAAAGGUGAAAAGAACCCCGGAGAGGGGAGUGAAAUAGAACCUGAAACCGUAUGCGUACAAGCAGUGGGAGCACCUUCGGGUGUGACUGCGUACCUUUUGUAUAAUGGGUCAGCGACUUACUUUCAGUGGCAAGCUUAACCAAUUAGGGAAGGCGUAGGGAAACCGAGUCUGAAUAGGGCGAUUUAGUCUCUGGGAGUAGACCCGAAACCGGGCGAUCUAUCCAUGGCCAGGGUGAAGGUGGGGUAAUACCUACUGGAGGCCCGAACCCACUUAUGUUGAAAAAUGAGGGGAUGAGCUGUGGAUAGGGGUGAAAGGCCAAACAAACCCGGAGAUAGCUGGUUCUCUCCGAAAUCUAUUUAGGUAGAGCGUCAUGUAUUACUUCUGGGGGUAGAGCACUGUUAUGGCUAGCGGGUCGUCAAGACUUACCAAACCAUUGCAAACUCCGAAUACCAGAAAGUAUAAGCACGGGAGACACACUGCGGGUGCUAACGUCCGUAGUGGAAAGGGAAACAACCCAGACCGUCAGCUAAGGUCCCAAAAUUAUAGUUAAGUGGGAAACGAUGUGAAAAGGCACAGACAGCCAGGAGGUUGGCUUAGAAGCAGCCAUCCUUUAAAGAGUGCGUAAUAGCUCACUGGUCGAGUCGGCCUGCGCGGAAGAUUUAACGGGGCUAAACUAUAUACCGAAGCUGCGGAUGCGUGUUUACACGCAUGGUAGAGAGAGCGUUCUGUAAGCCGUUGAAGGUGAACUGUGAGGUUUGCUGGAGGUAUCAGAAGUGCGAAUGCUGACAUGAGUAACGAUAAAGGGGGUGAAAAACCCCCUCGCCAGAAGUCCAAGGUUUCCUACGCAACGUUAAUCGGCGUAGGGUUAGUCGGCCCCUAAGGCGAGGCAGAAAUGCGUAGUCGAUGGGAAACGGGUUAAUAUUCCCGUACUUCAUAUAACUGCGAUGGGAAGACGGAGAAGGUUAGCUCAGCAAGGCGAUGGUUGUCCUUGUUCAAGCGUGUAGAAAUGGUUCUUAGGAAAAUCC
rnacentral:rRNA from 1 species